AAACAACGCAAAUUUCCCCCGUAAACUGUCAAAGCACGAGAUGUGGUGAGGGUAAUUAGUUGUAUACGCGAACGUCAGAACGGAUCAUGUCUGAAGUAAACAAAGUAAGAAGUGUGAUUUGGACAGAGAGGGAGAAAGUUGUAGAUCUAUUAAUGGAGAGUAUGCGAAGAGAAGGAGAGUUUGUUAUUUUGAAAAUUAUCUGGGACCGGCGGAAGUGCGGGGAUAUCUUAUAGAUCAAAAGAAAAAGAAUGGAAGGAGGUAACUGCGGCUGUCAAUGCACAAGUUAAAAAGACCUAAAACCGGAGGUGGUCAUGCUGUCCAAGAUACAAACACCAUUGGAAACAAGAAAUAUCUUUAAAAAAGAUAAACGGCAUAGUUUAAAUGCUGGUGGCUAUAAUGUAAAACUGCUGGUGAAAUAAAUUAAGAUAACGCGUUUCAGCAUGGAUAACAGAAUUAUAUCAGUUUGAAUCAUUUUUAAUCAGGAAUUAGAUUUUAUCUAUGUAUCAUUUGAAAAGAUUCAUCUGCUUAUUCAGCUUACAUUCAAUCUUAACUUUGUUUCGUUUUUAACUGCAUAUCUGCAAUUUGCAUUUACCGCUACAUUGACCAAUCACAUACUUCAUCUUGACCAGUAACGCCACCUGUCGCGUCAUAUCCGGGGCAAAAAGAAAGUAUAUGGCUAUGCCGAAAAAUCUUUAUAGAGGGUCAUAAUGGCAGCCCAAAUAUUGUGGGGUUAGGGGUAUCUUUAAAUAAAGAAGGUAACAAGGAAGAUAACUAGAUUGCUUGUUUUGAGUUUAUGAAAUAAGAAAACGAGACAAUGAUCAUUUCACUGUGAAAUCUUUAUUUUUUUUGUCUUAUAAAAAAAAGUACAAUACAUUGGGUCUGUACAAAAUCCUGUCUAGUGAAACUGAUCAUGUCUAAUAUCAUUUCUGUAUAGUAAUAAUUAAUCAUUUGUUGCAAUGUGUGUACCAUAAACUUUAUCUCUCACACACAUACAUGCUCGCAUUUGUACAUAUGGUUGAAUACAACACAUUUCUUUAUAACAGAAUAUACUUUUUCAUCUUUAUGUAAAUUUAUCUUUACCGUGUCAUUCUAGUUGCAUAACGUUUUGUUUUACCACAAGUUCUUAGUAAUUUUUAUGAAAAAAAAAAUUAUUAAAAGAUUAGAAGAACAGCACAGGCUAGCGUCAUGAUAGCAGCCUUCAUUGGCUCAACACAUAGUCCAAGUGAUAGACAAGGAAAUAUCAUUUUCAGUAUUCCAAAUGUCUGCUCAAACUUAACUCUGGUCUUACACAAACCAUCGUUAUAUUUGAUUUCUGCUUGGGUAGAUGGAUGGUGGUAUGGUGUCAUCAGAAAAGUCGUGCAUGGAUAUCCAGAGUCACCUAGCAACAUUCAGUUAUGGCUACCUGUAAUAUAAAUAUGCAUAAUUGUUUCAGGUCAGAAUGAAUUUAUACUUAUUUGUGUAUUGAUUUCACACAGGAAAUCAUUAUUAUAAUUAGCAGUUUAUCAAUUACUAGUUAUAAUAUACCCGGUAUAACAAAUGGUUGAGUAGUGCAAUUACAUAAUUAUAUAGCUUUAUCAAAAUAAUGACAAGAGUGUAAAUUGUGGAAUGAAAGAAAAAAA